GGUGAGUAACACGUGAGUAACCUGCCCUUGACUCUAGGAUAAGCCCGGGAAACUGGGUCUAAUACUGGAUAGGAACGUCUACCGCAUGGUGGAUGUUGGAAAGAAUUUCGGUCAUGGAUGGACUCGCGGCCUAUCAGCUUGUUGGUGAGGUAAUGGCUCACCAAGGCGACGACGGGUAGCCGGCCUGAGAGGGUGACCGGCCACACUGGGACUGAGACACGGCCCAGACUCCUACGGGAGGCAGCAGUGGGGAAUAUUGCACAAUGGGCGAAAGCCUGAUGCAGCGACGCCGCGUGAGGGAUGACGGCCUUCGGGUUGUAAACCUCUUUCAGUAGGGAAGAAGCGAAAGUGACGGUACCUGCAGAAGAAGCACCGGCUAACUACGUGCCAGCAGCCGCGGUAAUACGUAGGGUGCGAGCGUUAUCCGGAAUUAUUGGGCGUAAAGAGCUCGUAGGCGGUUUGUCGCGUCUGUCGUGAAAGUCCGGGGCUUAACCCCGGAUCUGCGGUGGGUACGGGCAGACUAGAGUGCAGUAGGGGAGACUGGAAUUCCUGGUGUAGCGGUGGAAUGCGCAGAUAUCAGGAGGAACACCGAUGGCGAAGGCAGGUCUCUGGGCUGUAACUGACGCUGAGGAGCGAAAGCAUGGGGAGCGAACAGGAUUA
rnacentral:rRNA from 1 species